rnacentral:lncRNA from 1 species
AUGCACAUUCUCUUCUUCCUCUAUAUCUUACAAUGAGAGCUGUUUCAGAUGGCGUUGUUCUUGUGCUUGCCUUCUGCAUUGUACUUGCUAGUGGUUCGUUGGUAGUGGGGAAGGUGGAGAAAAUUAAGGAUGACAAGCAUUUGAUUCAUCCCCCACAUUUGUUGGGGCCUGGGAUUAUCAAGAGAGGGUUUAAGCGUGGUGGAAUUGGUUUUGGUGGUGGUGGUGGUUUAGGAGGAGGGGGUGGCGUGGGUGGUGGCUUUGGAGGUGGUGCGGGGGAGGGAUAGGGGGAGGAGGUGGCCUUGGUGGUGGUGGAGGUCUUGGAGGAGGUGCAGGUGGCGGACUUGGCGGUGGUGGUGGGUUUGGUGGAGGUGCGGGUGGAGGCGUUGGAGGUGGAGGAGGGCUUGGUGGUGGUGCCGGUGGCGGCAUUGGCGGUGGUGUAGGAGGCGGAGGUGGGUUAGGACACGGUAUUGGUGGUGGUGCCGGUGGCGGCAUUGGCGGUGGUGUAGGAGGCGGAGGUGGGUUAGGACACGGUAUUGGUGGUGGUGGUGGUCUAGGAGGUGGAGGUGGGCUUGGUCACGGUGUCGGUGGCGGAGCCGGUGGUGGACUUGGUCAUGGUGUUGGUGGCGGCAUUGGAGGAGGAGCGGGUGGUGGUGGUGGACUUGGUCAUGGUGUUGGUGGCGGCAUUGGAGGAGGAGCAGGUGGCGGUGGUGGUUUAGGAGGUGGUGGUGGCAUUGGGGGAGGAGCGGGUAGUGGUGGUGGACUUGGUCAUGGUGUUGGUGGAGGCAUUGGAGGAGGAGCAGGUGGUGGUGUAGGAGGAGGCGGUGGUGCUGGCGGAGGAGGUGGGUUUGGCGGUGGUGGUGGGGCUGGAGGUGGGAUUGGAGGUGGGAUUGGAGGUGGAAUUGGAGGUGGUGUAGGUGGAGGAGGAGGGUUUGGAGGUGGAGGUGGAGGUGGAGUUGGAGGAGGUGGAGGUGGAGGAUUUGGUGGCGGCGGUGGCUUUGGAGUUAGUGGUGGUUUUGGUGGUGGCGGUGGUGCUGGAUUUGGCGGUGGGCACUAAGUAGAACGUAAGAAUGUUGAUAAAAGUUUGACAUGCAAGAGUGACUGAAAUUGUUUAUGUUUUGUGUUAAAGAAAACAGUUGAUGCUUAUAACAUUUGAAUUAAGUUAUAUUACAUGCAGUUGUUUCUUCUCUUCUAUAUCUCAAAUGCUCUGCAUGGAAGCAAAGCUUGUAACCAGUCUCACUAUUAAUUUUUGCCAAUAAUAUAUUAUUUUUAGUGCGGUGUAAGUUCAACAAGUGUUUAUCAUGCUCUUCUGUUUUUUCUUCUUUUUCAUAGUUUAGAUUUCGAAAUUUGAGAUGUGAUCACACAUCUGUUGAAUCAUAAUAACAUAAUUUAUGAUGACCCUGUUGGGUAUGUGAUCCAUUUGAA